rnacentral:lncRNA from 1 species
UACUACAAGCAAAACAACAACCUAGUGGACACAACAAAGUUGGAACAACCACUUGCCACAAAAAGAGAAACCGCAUUAAGCACAAGAGCUGAGCCCGGUAGAAAUUGGCAGUACCCGAUGAACAACUCUAAGGAUCAAUUCCUCAAGAAAAGCUUGUGAGAGACCUCCCAAUCAGCAGCACAAGGAGAGAACACCCGAGCAAGCAAUCGCUCAUACAAGACGAGCAUUUAUUUGGAGGGAAAGACCAUAAGUCGAAGUCCCUCACCGAACAAGAAACACAGGUUGAGAAGAGGCUGAUUCGCCUAGAAGCGAUGCGGUACCUGCAACCAAGAAGAACAGAGAUCCUCCUAUCAAAGACUGCUGAAACAGCAAGCUU